UCCCUGGAGGACUACUGGUUAGGCCACAGAGGUCUCACCGCCACGGCCCGGGUUCAAUUCCCGGCCAGGAAA